rnacentral:rRNA from 1 species
GAUGAACUCUGGCGGCGUGCCUAACACUUGCAAGUCGAAUGAGGGUGCCGCAAUGUGCCCUUAGUGGCGAACGGGUCAGUAACACUUAGGUAACCUGCCCUGAAGCGGGGGAUAACUGUGGGAAACUGCAGCUAAUACCGCAUGAUUUGCUUUGAGCGGGAGCGAAGAGCAAGAAAACUGACGUGCUUCAUGAGGGGCCUGCGGUCAAUUAGCUAGUUGGCGGGGUAAAGGCCCACCAAGGGGAUGAUCCAUAGCUGUUCUGAAAGGAAUACCACCCACACGGGAACUGAUACACGGUCCCGACUCCUACGGGGGGCAGCACUGAGGAAUAUUGCACAAUGGGGGAAACCCUGAUGCAGCAACGCCGCGUGAAGGAUGAAGGUCUUCGGAUUGUAAACUUCUUUUCUGCGGGAAGAGCAAGGACGGUACCGCACGAAUAAGACACGGCUAACUACGUGCCACCAGCCGCGGUAAUACAUACGUGUCAAGCGUUAUCCGGA